GUUCUCCUGUCCUAUGCUGUCCUGCAGGGUCGCUGUGAGUCAGUGCUGCCUCAGGGCAGGGGGUUUGAUAAUGGCUCCCCAGGCAGACCUGUCACCCUCUGGGUCACACGGGCUCUUUGUAGGAGGCUGCUGGACCUCCAGCAGACCAGGAGCUCCAUGCUCCCACUCUCCCCACUGCAGUGCGGCCCAACCUUUCUGCAGUCUCCCAGAGGGUGCAGGUGCCCCUAGGGGUGUGUGUGUGUGCACGCAGGCAGGUUUCCGUUGCUCCCCACCAGCUUCCAUCUCUCUGUGAGAGUCCCUAGUCCUUCAAGGGGGGUGAGGAAUGGUUUACAAACAUUGUGGAAUCCUGCUGCCUCACAAGGAAGACAUCUGUUUGGGCCUCAGAGGUAGAAACAUCUCCUGCCAAAACAAAGGUGUGUGGGAAUUUUGUUUUCUCCCCUUUUUUAAUCUAGAAGCAAAUAUUUGGUGCCCGGGAGGGUUGGGCUGUUUUCCUAAGUGAUUAUUUACAAGUGGGGGCCGCUCUGGUCGUCGGCAGCAAGCAGAGAGCCCCGGAGAGGUUUCCACCAGAACGGAGAGGGAGGAGGCACGUGUUUGUGGGGACAAGGGGCCACCCCCCACCUUCGUGUAGUUUUCACCUUCCGUUUAAUCAAACCUCAGUGCCUUUGGACCUAGGGACUGAAUGACUGAGGGAAGAGGGGCUCUCUCCUGGUGGCCGUCGGGGCCGUUCACAGUUCCAGAGGGGCUCACCCCUCCCCGAGCCAGACGUGCACCCUCACUCUGCCCACAGGAGCCUGCCCCCUUCCCCAAGACCCUUUGCUCCUGCGUAAUUCUCCAGCCAGCAAAUGGCCUCCUGCUAUAGACUGAGGGAACCACCCAGGCAUCUCCUGCACCCCAGCACACAGCGUCUCCGAUGACAGCGCCCCGAGGUGGCCACUCUGAAGUCAGCUGUUACCAAGGGGAGUGACGCUCUGGGUUUCCAAAUGAAAUCUCCUGGCCGGGCAGCGAUGACAACUAGGGUCAGAACAAGCACGUUUUGCAUGUUCGCAUUGAACUUGACAGGUGCAAUCAGGACCAAAGCCCAUCGGUCCCGAGAGGAGGCUGCAGGCACCUGGACCAGAUGGCGGCGCCACCUCCAUCAAAUGUCAUAUCUGAUGUGCUCCGCCGGACGGAGCUGGUGGCUCUGCAAAGCCCCAAAGGUCUGCUACUUGCUGCUGUGUGAUGGUGGGCAAGUCCCUGGACCUCUCCUCUCUGGGUCUGUUCCCUACCUGUGACACGGAGCUGUGUUUAAGAUGAAGGAGGGAAGUCAAGGAAAGCCCGCAGAUUCGAUGGAGGAGCGACUCUUGGUUCCAGGCUUAACCGUGACUUCAGGGCAAUCAUUUCAGGAGUCCAUCCUACCUCCAACACUCCAUGGCUGUACCCCUGUAUUAGCUGGAUGCUUUUUCUAGAGACCCUUCUAUAGCCAUCCAGCAAAUAAGCCCACAUGGAUGAAACACACCAGCGCGGGCGACCGUGAGAUGUCGACGGGACCAGCCAUCAGCAUCGAAGACCCAACACAAAGCAAUUAUAUCGAUGCGAACCAGGGGGGUUGGAGCGGAGACCCAAAGCCCAUCUGUAGAGAAUUGGACAUCCCACCACAGAAGUGGUAUAAGGAAGGGAUGAUUCAACCAGGGUGCAGUAUAGCACCGAGGAAUCAUUCCCCUAGUUCCUGUGUCCUGCCACCACCACCCCCCGCCCCCCGCAACCACUACCAUGACCCAGUUCUAACUUAAACAAAUCUGGUUAAC